CUUGAAGGCCCUCCACUUGGGUGAAUCCCUUGUGUAAUCAAGGAUGAGCUUCAAGGCUCGGUCGUCGUUAUGGCAAGGUUGUUCGGUGUAUGGGGAAGGCUUAGGUUCGUGAGAUGGGUGCCUCCUCUUCCAGAUCGACCACAUGAUAGGUCAUCGCCCUAACGGAGGAAGUGGCAACCCUAAAAGGUCAGCUUGCGGCCCAAGAAGCAACAUGGGAGGCCAAAGCAGCAGCUCGGGAAGCCGAGAUUGUAGCCCAAUUUUAGGCCCAAGACGAGAAGAUGAGUAUGAUCUUACGGGCCUUACAUAUAUCCCGUCUCCAAAUUCCGAUGCCAGCACCUGAUGUUGCUCCACCUUUGACCUCCCAACCACGUCGCCCAGCCGAUACCCAGUACCCUGAUGCAUUAAGCCCAUAAGACUACUUGUUGUAGUUUUUUCUUUUAUAUUCGAACAUCUUGUAUGUACAUUUUCAUAUAUUUUAUAAUUAAAUACCUUUUCUUGAUUUA